CCUACGGGAGGCAGCAGUGGGGAAUUUUGCACAAUGGGCGAAAGCCUGAUCCAGCCAUGCCGCGCCAGGAUGAAGGCCUUCGGGUUGUAAAGUGCUUUCGUCCGGGACGAAAAGCCUCUCUUAAUAAAGGAGGGUCAUGACGUACCGCAG
rnacentral:rRNA from 1 species